GGAUUUUCUACAGAAGAAAGAUUUUCCUCAAGAGACAACUUUGCAGAGUUCUUCUUAAUGCCUCCUGCAUCAUUUCCAAGGGUUAUACCUGUGCUCAGCAGGAUGAGUAUGGAGAAACAGAUCUCAGUAUUGGUAUUGCUGGACCCUUCCGUACACAUUGGAAUCCUGAGAUACUGCAAAAGCAUUCAACAACCCAUGUGCUGCCAGAAAAUGCAGGAACUCUUGCUGUAAUGCUGGAGGUGGUCGGGCACAACUCACAGCCCUGCUUGGGACACAGCAGCUGGGGGUCCAUGGAGAUGUCUACCUGAGGCCAAUUGGAGCGAUGGAUGCUGCUUCAGUGCCUGAUCCAGAAUAUACAAAAUAUACUGAAUGAUUAAACCACAGGAAGAGCAACAAGCAAUGCAGACAUCUUCAAAUGCAGCUCAUCGUUUGGUCAUAUCCAAUUGUAACUGCUCAGAUUUAUCAUACGGAUAGUUUAGCCUUUCUAGAAUUUCCCUAUUAAUGUAUUUUCUUCUUAUUACAUCUAAGUGAAAAAUUACAGUCACUCACUGUUAUAAUUCUGUCUAGCUUCUGAAAUCAUUAUAGUUUUGAGUUAAAUCUCUUCUCCCUUUCUGACUGCAUAAUGAAGCAUUGGGUCAUCAGAUUAUGGUAAUGCAAAAUAAAAGAUUUGUAUGAUUUAAGAAGUGGUAUCAUAUAUUUACUUAUAGCAUUAGGUAUAUUUGGUCAUUUAAAAAUGCAUUAGCUAAUCAGAAUCUAUUGCCUUGCUAAAAAUCUAUGUUUCAACUUCAUUUUCUUUGCUAUAAAUUGUUUAAGUUUUCCAUUGGGCAUGAUUAUUGUUGAUCUCAAUCUGCACAACUCUAAAAUACUGAGAAUACAGUAGUUUCAGAUAGCCUAUAUAUUUGCUGCAAAUUAAGUUUAAAGUGUUACUAACGUAGUGAUUCUUUGUAGCUAAGGCUACAUUUAAAUGCUCAUCUUAAGCCAAAGUUAUUCUGCAGUUCAAUUUAAUAUUUUAAAUUACUCCUUUUGAAUUUGACCAUGUGACAUUUAUUAGGACAGUUGCUCAUUUGUGUUCUGCGGAAAAAUAAUAUUUUAAAUACUUCUUGUACAUUGUCCUGCUUCCAAAGUACAAUAGAUUCUCUUAAGAUGUGGUUAUCAUUUGGAGCUGGGCUAUGUAAUCUUUUUCUCCUUUUUCAUCACACCUCACCUCAAUUUAUAAAAUCAGAAUAAAACAUGUUGUUUAUUAUCAUUCAGUGUAAUUCUUAUAACUUCCAUCUUCUAUAUAUGCAUAGUGUUAAAACAAACCAACAUGAGAUUUGAGAAAAGGCAUAACUAGCCUUCAUUUUAUUCAUUGCAUGUCCACAGUUCAGUACGUGGUUGUGAUUAAGUUACUUGUCUCUUUGUGGACACAAUGGACACUUAGG
rnacentral:lncRNA from 1 species